rnacentral:ncRNA from 1 species
AUCAUUGCAAUUGUUGGUCUUAAACGAGGAAUUCCUAGUAGAGCGCGAGUCAUCAGCUCGCGUUGACUACGUCCCUGCCCUUUGUACACACCGCCCGUCGCUCCUACCGAUUGAAUGGUCCGGUGAAGUGUUAGGAUCGUGGCGACGUGGGCGGUUCGCCGCCGACGACGUCGCGAGAAUUCCACUGAACCUUAUCAUUUAGAGGAAGGAGAAGUCGUAACAAGGUUUCCGUAGGUGAACCUGCGGAAGGAUCAUUG